UUUCCCACACAGCGGACAGGAAAUGGCUCAUGGCAUCAGACUUCCUGGGAUUGAUUUUCACAGAGGCGGGCGGGCCGCCCUGGCCAGGCCCUUUGUGUGGAGCCCGCUGCGCCCGAGCCGCCCGCGUGGACGCUUCCUUCCAGGCCGGCCCAGCCCCUCCCGCAGUCCCCGGGCCCCUGGGAAAAGCUCCCCUUAUCAGUGCCCGAUAUUAUGUCAUUUCUUUUUACACACGAUGUUUAUUGUCUUUAGAGCCCGCUCUGUGGGAAUGUCCUUUUCAAGGGCGACAAUGGGGAACCACAGAACAAACCUGGUGAAAUCACUCAGCCCCGGAGCGUCAGCCUUCCAAGUUGCUUCAUAAUUAGAAAACAAAACGCUCAGCUACAAUACCAACGGUGUUUUUACCUUCUCUGGCUACUGAAUUAUUUAUUCAAAAAAGCUUUAUCACCAGUGCGUUAUCCGGCCACCCUAGAGGGGAAGGGAUCCUUUUAUAGUGAAUAUAAGGAAUCAGAAUGAGAUAACCAGAUAAUUUAAUUUGACGUGAAUAGAUAUUGUGAGAAGCCCCAGGUAGCAUUUUCUUGCUGAAUAUGAAAUAGUUCAAGGGAAGGGACAUCAACGGCAAACAGCAGAGAAAACUAACUUGUGUAGUUGAGAACAGGUAAUGGUUUUGGACUGGCAUUACAGCACUGAGCAGCCCGGCUUAGACGCAUAAACUCUCUGAGCAAGGAGGCCUUCAGUCCACCCGGUGAUGUCCGCUGGGUGUGUGCUAGGGAAGAGCACCCCAGUAUCCCUGGGCAAGCUUUCAAGAUGAGUAGGUCACAUUUCCCAUCUCUAAAGGGCUGAUGGUCUGAUGCUAAAUUUCCGGCUAUCACUAUCGGAGGAAGAAAUUAUGAAACUUGGACAGCCUUUUGCUUCACGACGGCCUGUGAAUUAUUAUCUCGCACUAUGUGCUCUCCUCCGUGCUUGCAAAUUGAUUUUUGGAUGAUUUGUUCCGGUUUUUCCAGGUAAGGAAAAUAAGCUGAUGCCUGUGGUUCCAGGGUCAUCGUUCAUCCCAUUUUUAAGUCUAGACACUAUGUUUGCCCUUUUCAAGUCCUGUAGUGCUUCACCAGUGUCCUCUGUGAGUCCUUAAAAAAAUCAUAGCUGGUCACCUGAUGAAUCUUUCAGCCCAGUCCUCUGGCACACUAAGCUGUUAGCCCCACGCAUUUGAAUAAAUCUAUUCUUUUAAAAUGUUUUCCAAGUAGAAGGAAGCAAGAAGACAGCAUAACUAACAGACUAAAGAUAGAAAACAGUUUACUUACAGAAGCCUAUUUGGUUCUGAUAAGAGAACACCAGCCAAAUUUUGAUAGGAAAGGUCCAUUAAAUAUGAUUUCUAUUUUUUCUUAUACAAAAAACAGCAUUGUAUUCAAAUAGUGGCUUGCUAAUUUUGUGCCCCGUCCCACAAAGGAUGCAAAAAAUGAACAGCAGUUGUUACUUUUACCAAGAUUUUGACCAGAAUUGCAAAUCGAUAUGGCCCAUAGAGAAGACCAGGCCCUUGGCAAGAGUUGGCUCAGCCCAUCAGAACUGGAACCCAUAAGCAGGUGCUAGGGAGAAGGACGCUGGGCUCAGUGAGGGCAGAGACGCACUUCCGCAAGAGCCCCAGGGCAUUUAGUGAACGCUGAGUGAAGGAUUGCACAGCACGGAGGUCAGCUCUCCUCGGGGUCAGUCCGGGGGGCCCCGUGGCUUCAUCUUACCCCCGGGAGGUGUAGGUCUUUUCUGACUUUCCUUGGGAUGCUCUCAGAUGCUCCUCCCCGAAAUCAGCUCUAUGUCCUCACU